rnacentral:rRNA from 1 species
UACGGGGGAGCAAGCGUUGUUCGGAUUUACUGGGCGUAAAGGGCGCGUAGGCGGUCAGCACAAGUCAGUUGUGAAAUCUCCGGGCUUAACCCGGAAAGGUCAACUGAUACUGUGCGACUAGAGUGCGGAAGGGGCAACUGGAAUUCUCGGUGUAGCGGUGAAAUGCGUAGAUAUCAGUCGGAACACCGGUGGCGAAGGCGGCUUCUUGGGCCGUUCCUGACGCUGAGGCGCGAAAGCUGGGGGAGCGAACGGG